rnacentral:rRNA from 1 species
GACGAACGCUGGCGGCGUGCUUAACACAUGCAAGUCGAACGGAAAGGCCCUGCUUUUGUGGGGUGCUCGAGUGGCGAACGGGUGAGUAACACGUGAGUAACCUGCCCUUGACUUUAGGAUAACUUCAGGAAACUGGGGCUAAUACCGGAUAGGAGCUCCUGCUGCAUGGUGGGGGUUGGAAAGUUUCGGCGGUUGGGGAUGGACUCGCGGCUUAUCAGCUUGUUGGUGGGGUAGUGGCUUACCAAGGCUUUGACGGGUAGCCGGCCUGAGAGGGUGACCGGCCACAUUGGGACUGAGAUACGGCCCAGACUCCUACGGGAGGCAGAAGUGGGGAAUAUUGCACAAUGGGCGGAAGCCUGAUGCAGCAACGCCGCGUGCGGGAUGACGGCCUUCGGGUUGUAAACCGCUUUCGCCUGUGACGAAGCGUGAGUGACGGUAAUGGGUAAAGAAGCACCGGCUAACUACGUG